AUCCAGCUGACAAGUCCCAAAUAGGACGAAACUCGUAUCAAACUGGAU
rnacentral:hammerhead_ribozyme from 1 species